AUUGAACGCUGGCGGCAGGCUUAACACAUGCAAGUCGAGCGGGGGGAGGUAGCUUGCUACCGGACCUAGCGGCGGACGGGUGAGUAAUGCUUAGGAAUCUGCCUAUUGGUGGGGGACAACAUCUCGAAAGGGAUGCUAAUACCGCAUACGUCCUACGGGAGAAAGCAGGGGAUCUUCGGACCUUGCGCUAAUAGAUGAGCCUAAGUCGGAUUAGCUAGUUGGUGGGGUAAAGGCCUACCAAGGCGACGAUCUGUAGCGGGUCUGAGAGGCUGAUCCGCCACACUGGGACUGAGACACGGCCCAGAGUCCUACGGGAGGCAGCAGUGGGGAAUAUUGGACAAUGGGGGGAGCCCUGAUCCAGCCAUGCCGCGUGUGUGAAGAAGGCCUUAUGGUUGUAAAGCACUUUAAGCGAGGAGGAGGCUCUUUUGGUUAAUACCCAAGACGAGUGGACGUUACUCGCAGAAUAAGCACCGGCUAACUCUGUGCCAGCAGCCGCCGCCG
rnacentral:rRNA from 1 species